AGUUGGUGACACCCUCACACCUGCAGCAUGUGGAUCGUGGAGACAGGAGAUGGAACUGACCUGCAGCUUUCCAAAUGAGUCCUAUUACGUACAUGGAUGCUGUGGUGGAGUGGCAGUUGGAUCCAUGCUGCCCUUUAUAGCUUUGAUACAGGAGCAGGAGGGCAACCAGGGCACACGUGUGGCCCAAACAAACAAAGCUGGCCAAAACACCCCAGUCUCAAGCACAUCAGGUGCAGACACACCAAGAGUGGAAUAUACCGAUAGACAACAACUCUCAAACUCCAGUUCCUGUAUAGGAUCACCCUCAGUGUCCCCGGUGGCAUCGGCUCGCCGCAGGGCUUGGAGCAGCUGGGGUCCUCAUCCUGGUGGGAGCUGUGAUAGCGAUGGGCAUUUGGGGUAAGCAGUUCAAAAUUAAUUUGUGCUAAAUGCAGCACCCUGAAAUUUCCUCUCCCCCCAUAUUUCUGAUUCCAAUGUUCUUGUGAAUAAUAUCCUGGACACGUUGUUAUCACCACAAAGGGAACAAUAUUCCAUAAACAAGGUUGAGACCCUGUGAUCCAGCUCUCACAACGUCACUGUUCAGUGUGCACAGGGAAAAGUGGAAGACACCUUAUAAUGUAUAAUAAAUGUAAUUUUCCCUUUCUCUGUCGUGUUCUAUCUCUCUGGCCCAGUUCUGAAUUUGAUAGCUACAGUAUGUAAUGAUUUGUUGUUGCACACACCCUCAUUCCCAGUUUGCUGAUCCCUAAGUAGUAGUCACCAUUCACGCUCAUGCUGUUCUGAAGUUUGUCACACCAAAGGAUCUCUGAAUUCACUGGAGAACAAGGGUACCAGGGAGAGAAUCAUCCAUCAACCCAACUGCAGCACUGCCCUAAAAGAUUUCCAUUUCCACUUGAAACAAUUUGUGUGUGAAAACAACGAGGAGUCUGGUGGCAACUCAGCAGGUAACCUGAGCUCCUUCUCUCUCUCAGCAGCUUCCUGCAUUGCAGUGACAUCUAGUGGUCGGUUAGGGUAACCCUAAGUGGCGGAUACAAACCACUUCAAUAAGUGCAAUAAAUAUGCUAUUGCUUUACAAACUAGGAAUAGAGUAGCUGGUAGCAACUGCUGUUUGGUUUCCCUUAACGCUUCCGUUGUAAAAGGGUCUUGUGUUUUCUCUAAGAAGCUCUCACACUUCCAUUGUUUGAAACAUGCCUUUGAAAUAUGGGGUGAGGGGAGACCUCAGGAUGGAGAAAUGUUUUUUCUUUGGCCCAUGAAAUUUCAUCCAGGUUUUGCUGAGAUGGGAACUUUGGAAGAGUUUUCUUUUCUCUCCUUGCUUGUGAUGCUCAGGAAAAUUGACAAAUAACAGCAUGAAAAGUCAAAAGUGCUGGGCUCACCCUGCCACAGCAGCACACCUGGCACUGGGAGCUACCAGAGCACAUGGAGAUGGAUGUGAGGAGGGGGUGAGAGCUGGGCCAGGCUCCCCCACAUCCAGCAUGUGGCUCCAGGAACUCUCAUCCACAGGAACAUCACAUGGGACAGAAGCUCCUCCUGGGGAGGGAGAGGGAGCUGGCUCUGCUCCCAUUGGCUGCCCAGGCCCAUUCCCUGCCUCCUCCAUGAGAAUAACAGACUCCCUGUUACCAGCUAACAUUGACUGGUAGCAGUGUGGUGUGGUUCUGAAGAUCCAGGGUCCACACCCUGCUGCUGAUUCAGGAUGGUCCUGAAUGCUGAUGCAGUUGUUCCUGUUGCAUGUAAUAGAAUUGUUGUUUAUGUUUUUUAAAAAUGAGGACAUUAAAUACAAUACUGCAUGAAGAGAACAGGAAGGUUACAAAGCCAAGCUCUGGAAAGUUAGGAAAUGCCAGAUUUACAAUUACUCGCACAACCUUAAUUCAGCCCCCAUUCGUGUUUGCCUUAUGAUACGCUCUUUAUUGAAUGAUUACCUACUAUUUUUUCCUCAGGGCUGCUGCCUCAUUCAGUGCACAGGCCUAUCUUGUUCCCAUGUACAUGAUGGCUCCCCAAGCAUUCAGGGUACAGGAUGAACCCACAGUCACGCUGAAUUACAGCUACAUGGGCAACCAUGAAUGUGGCAUUUCCAACUCUGACUUUGCAACCUAAAUAAAGUUCUUUUAGCUCUUUUAUAUGUAGUAUUAUCUACCCCAAGUGGAAUGCAGCCAUCUCUAAGGGGAAACGUAAUGGCUGUUAAGCAGUGCACACAGGAACAAUACAGUAGCUGAGGGGAGGAAGUGAAGGAGGAUUCCAGUUGACCCUGACCUGCAUUACCCCGUGCUAUUUCAGGACUGAGGUACUCACAGCUUCACCAAUACCCCUCCCUUCCUGGCAGCACCUGCAGCUAGUUAAAUAUUAGACCCAUCCUCAAACAAAACCAAGACAAUAGCUCCACUGGAAAUGGGGAGGCUGGAGGCCUGUGCAUGAGUGUGAUGCAGUUCAGAACCUUCAGCUCCAUUAAGUGUUUCCAUUUCCCCUCCAGAGGGAUCAGGUUGUAAGCUCUGCCCCCCAAACUGGCUGCUGCACAGGGACAAGUGCUACUGGGUGUCAAAAGAAAAAAAUCCCUGGAACAAGAGCCGCGAUGACUGUUCAAGGAGGAGCUCUCGGCUGCUGGUGCUCCGGGACCAGGAUGAGAUGACUUUCAUACAAACUACUUCCAAAGGCGCAAAACAGAUCUGGCUUGGACUCACUAUUACAUCCGCCGCGAGGAAUUGGACUUGGGUGGACGGCUCCCUGUUAAAUCAAACACUGUUCAAUGUAAAGGAUCCUGCUGAAGGGAACAGCUGCGGGAUGAUAAAAGCAGAUGGGAUUCAUUUUGAAACCUGCAGUGCUACAUCUAAAUGGAUUUGUGAAAAAGACGCUCUCCAGAUAUAGACAGUGACAUUAUCUGUAUUUUCUACGUGUGAAGGAGAAAUCUUCUUUAGUUUCAGUCUGUCCCAUGAACGAUGAAUAUUGAAGGUGAGCUUCAAAGGGAAAAAUUGACCUUGUGCCCUUCCCCGUCUCCCCUGCUUUUAUAAUGUGGAUAAAGACGGCAUGGAAGUCUUUUCUUGCAUUUGAAAUUCAGGUCCUGUCUGGGCUUGAAGAUUACGGUGAAGGGAGAACUAGUGAAGUGACAUCACAAGUAGAGCUGGGGGAAAAUUUUCCACUGAAUAUUUUGUCAAAAAAUGCAGUUUUGGGUCAAACAAAUUGGUGUUGAAUUUACUGAAUAGAUUUAGGCAAAAUAAAAUAAUUAAAAAAAAUCAGGCUACGUUCACCAGAUGACUGGGGAGGAGACAGCAGCUAACUCCAUCCAAUAGCCAAGUGCUUUGUGCACCAGAUUUGAACAGGGCCACCCAGAGGGGGGGGGCAAGUGGGGCAAUUUGCCCCGGGCCCCACAGGAGCCCCCACAAGAAUGUCAGAGGCUCCCACUCCACCUCCGCCUUCCCCCAUCCCCCGGCGCCUCAGCGCACCGUGCCCAGGAGCUGCCCUGGACAGCAUUGCAGCAGCAGUGUGGCUCCAGCGGGGCCUGAGCUCCAGGGCCGCUCCCUGAUGCGGCGCACUGAGGCUCUGGGAGAGGAGGGAGGCAGGGGUAA